rnacentral:other from 1 species
AAGUUCCUGAAAUGUGCGUGGUUCCUUAAUUUUGAACCUGCUAUGUUUGAUAUGGGAGCCCGGAGUUUGGGUAUGUAGCACAGGCCGCAACUUAAUACCACGUACAGGGAUUCAAUCCCUGUACCUGGCAGCGGAAGUGUGAUGUACUCAACAGGGCACCCACCUGGUGGAGCGCCAGGUGUCAAAAUAGGUAAACGGCAUUUUGGGAGCAGA